rnacentral:rRNA from 1 species
GACGAACGCUGGCGGCGUGCUUAACACAUGCAAGUCGAACGAUGAAGCCUAGCUUGCUAGGUGGAUUAGUGGCGAACGGGUGAGUAAUACGUGAGUAACCUACCUUUAACUCUGAGAUAAGCCUGGGAAACUGGGUCUAAUACCGGAUACGACCAAUCUCCGCAUGGGGUGUUGGUGGAAAGCGUUAUGUAGUGGUUAUAGAUGGGCUCACGGCCUAUCAGCUUGUUGGUGAGGUAACGGCUCACCAAGGCGACGACGGGUAGCCGGCCUGAGAGGGUGACCGGCCACACUGGGACUGAGACACGGCCCAGACUCCUACGGGAGGCAGCAGUGGGGAAUAUUGCACAAUGGGCGCAAGCCUGAUGCAGCGACGCCGCGUGAGGGAUGACGGCCUUCGGGUUGUAAACCUCUGUUAGCAGGGAAGAAGAGAGAUUGACGGUACCUGCAGAGAAAGCGCCGGCUAACUACGUGCCAGCAGCCGCGGUAAUACGUAGGGCGCGAGCGUUGUCCGGAAUUAUUGGGCGUNAAGAGCUUGUAGCGGUUUGUCGCGUCUGCUGUGAAAGGCCGGAGCUUAACUCCGUGUAUUGCAGUGGGUACGGGCAGACUAGAGUGCAGUAGGGGAGACUGGAAUUCCUGGUGUAGCGGUGGAAUGCGCAGAUAUCAGGAGGAACACCGAUGGCGAAGGCAGGUCUCUGGGCUGUAACUGACGCUGAGAAGCGAAAGCAUGGGGAGCGAACAGGAUUAGAUACCCUGGUAGUCCAUGCCGUAAACGUUGGGCACUAGGUGUGGGGAACAUUCCACGUUUUCCGCGCCGUAGCUAACGCAUUAAGUGCCCCGCCUGGGGAGUACGGCCGCAAGGCUAAAACUCAAAGAAAUUGACGGGGGCCCGCACAAGCGGCGGAGCAUGCGGAUUAAUUCGAUGCAACGCGAAGAACCUUACCAAGGCUUGACAUAUACUGGACCGCAUCAGAGAUGGUGUUUCCCUUCGGGGCUGGUAUACAGGUGGUGCAUGGUUGUCGUCAGCUCGUGUCGUGAGAUGUUGGGUUAAGUCCCGCAACGAGCGCAACCCUCGUUCUAUGUUGCCAGCACGUUAUGGUGGGGACUCAUAGGAGACUGCCGGGGUCAACUCGGAGGAAGGUGGGGAUGACGUCAAAUCAUCAUGCCCCUUAUGUCUUGGGCUUCACGCAUGCUACAAUGGCCGGUACAGAGGGUUGCGAUACUGUGAGGUGGAGCUAAUCCCUAAAAGCCGGUCUCAGUUCGGAUUGGGGUCUGCAACUCGACCCCAUGAAGUCGGAGUCGCUAGUAAUCGCAGAUCAGCAACGCUGCGGUGAAUACGUUCCCGGGCCU